CCUACGGGAGGCAGCAGUGAGGAAUAUUGGUCAAUGGGCGGGAGCCUGAACCAGCCAAGCCGCGUGAGGGAAGAAGGUACAGCGUAUCGUAAACCUCUUUUGUCAGGGAACAAAGGCGGGGACUAGUCCCCGGAUGAGGGUACCUGAAGAAAAAGCAUCGGCUAACUCCGUGCCAGCAGCCGCGGUAAUACGGAGGAUGCGAGCGUUAUCCGGAUUUAGUGGGUUUAAAGGGUGCGCAGGCGGCCUGUUAAGUCAGCGGUAAAAGCCCGGGGCUCAACCCCGGCGAGCCGGUGAAACUGGCGGGCUGGAGUUGGGGAGAGGUACGCGGAAGGCGCGGUGUAGCGGGGAAAGGCUGAGAGAUCGCGCAGAACCCCAAU
rnacentral:rRNA from 1 species